AAUUUUGAUUUUCUUCUCUGC
rnacentral:piRNA from 1 species